rnacentral:rRNA from 1 species
AUGAACGCUGGCGGCGUGCCUAAUACAUGCCAGUCGAGCGAACAGACGAGGAGCUUGCUCCUCUGACGUUAGCGGCGGACGGGUGAGUAACACGUGGAUAACCUACCUAUAAGACUGGGAUAACUUCGGGAAACCGGAGCUAAUACCGGAUAAUAUAUUGAACCGCAUGGUUCAAUAGUGAAAGACGGUUUUGCUGUCACUUAUAGAUGGAUCCGCGCCGCAUUAGCUAGUUGGUAAGGUAACGGCUUACCAAGGCGACGAUGCGUAGCCGACCUGAGAGGGUGAUCGGCCACACUGGAACUGAGACACGGUCCAGACUCCUACGGGAGGCAGCAGUAGGGAAUCUUCCGCAAUGGGCGAAAGCCUGACGGAGCAACGCCGCGUGAGUGAUGAAGGUCUUCGGAUCGUAAAACUCUGUUAUUAGGGAAGAACAAAUGUGUAAGUAACUAUGCACGUCUUGACGGUACCUAAUCAGAAAGCCACGGCUAACUGCGUG